AGUCUUAUAUUCAUAUAAUGAUAUAAAAUUGCAAAUUUUAAGGAAUAAAUAUAAUUUAUUAAGGCUU
rnacentral:tRNA from 1 species